GGGGAAUCUUCCGCAAUGGGCGAAAGCCUGACGGAGCAAUACCGCGUGAGGGAGGAAGGCUCUUGGGUUGUAAACCUCUUUUCUCAGGGAAGAACAAAAUGACGGUACCUGAGGAAUAAGCAUCGGCUAACUCCGUGCCAGCAGCCGCGGUAAUACGGAGGAUGCAAGCGUUAUCCGGAAUGAUUGGGCGUAAAGCGUCCGCAGGUGGGGCAGCAAGUCUGCUGUUAAAGGUCGGGGCUCAACCCCGAAAAGGCAGUGGAAACUGCGGCUCUAGAGUGCGGUAGGGGUAGAGGGAAUUCCCAGUGUAGCGGUGAAAUGCGUAGAGAUUGGGAAGAACACCGGUGGCGAAAGCGCUCUACUGGACCGCAACUGACACUCAGGGACGAAAGCUAGGGGAGCGAAUGGGAUUAGAUACCCCAG
rnacentral:rRNA from 1 species